rnacentral:rRNA from 1 species
UUGAACGCUGGCGGCAUGCUUUACACAUGCAAGUCGAACGGCAGCGGGGGCUUCGGCCUGCCGGCGAGUGGCGAACGGGUGAGUAAUGCAUCGGAACGUGCCCAGUCAUGGGGGAUAACUACGCGAAAGCGUAGCUAAUACCGCAUACGCCCUGAGGGGGAAAGUGGGGGAUCGCAAGACCUCACGUUAUUCGAGCGGCCGACGUCUGAUUAGCUAGUUGGUGGGGUAAAGGCUCACCAAGGCGACGAUCAGUAGCGGGUCUGAGAGGAUGAUCCGUCACACUGGAACUGAGACACGGUCCAGACUCCUACGGGAGGCAGCAGUGGGGAAUUUUGGACAAUGGGGGCAACCCUGAUCCAGCCAUGCCGCGUGAGUGAAGAAGGCCUUCGGGUUGUAAAGCUCUUUCAGACGGAAAGAAAACGCAUCGGUGAAUACCCGGUGUGGAUGACGGUACCGUAAGAAGAAGCACCGGCUAACUACGU